GGGACCGUGGUGUAGCUUGGCCUAGCAUCGGGGCUUCGGGAGUCCCAGACUCGAGUUCAAGAACCCUUUAGCGCCAGUAAACGCACAAAAGCGCCCGCCGGAAAAUAAGCUUCCGCGGAAAUCGCGAAGGGGUUGGACAAAUCUCGGCGGUCCCA
rnacentral:tRNA from 1 species